CAGUACAGCAAUAGACCCCUAGAGACAGCAACUGAGGAAAGUUAACAGUUGUGUGAUAUGAUGAACUGAUGAAGAGAUGUGUGCAAAGUUAAGACAAAAGAAACAUGUUAGAAUGAACAGAAAUAUUUGAGACAAGAGUACCUUUAGGUUGAGGUCUAGCAGUAUUAUAGGCAAGUUGUCGAGCCUGGGCCUCCUCCAUAGCUUGAUGUAUUCUACUCUCGGAUACAGACUGAUCUGCUAACUGCUCCGCCGCCAGAAACCCUGCCAUACUCUCUGUCACUGAAAUACAUUGCCAUAAGGUCAUCUACAGAUCAUUAAAGCUAAAACACUACAAACAGACUCAGUUAGUCUUGUCUAGAUACCGGUGUGUCUGAAAAACCUACAAAAAGACGGGCAUUGGGCACUUCAAGAUUAACUU
rnacentral:lncRNA from 1 species